CUGGCGGCGUGCCUAAUACAUGCAAGUCGAACGCACUCUCGUUAGAUUGAAGAAGCUUGCUUCUGAUUGAUAACAUUUGAGUGAGUGGCGGACGGGUGAGUAACACGUGGGUAACCUGCCCUAAAGUGGGGGAUAACAUUUGGAAACAGAUGCUAAUACCGCAUAAAACCUAGCACCGCAUGGUGCAAGGUUGAAAGAUGGUUUCGGCUAUCACUUUAGGAUGGACCCGCGGUGCAUUAGUUAGUUGGUGAGGUAAAGGCUCACCAAGACCGUGAUGCAUAGCCGACCUGAGAGGGUAAUCGGCCACACUGGGACUGAGACACGGCCCAGACUCCUACGGGAGGCAGCAGUAGGGAAUCUUCCACAAUGGACGAAAGUCUGAUGGAGCAACGCCGCGUGAGUGAAGAAGGUUUUCGGAUCGUAAAACUCUGUUGUUGGAGAAGAACGUAUUUGAUAGUAACUGAUCAGGUAGUGACGGUAUCCAACCAGAAAGCCACGGCUAACUACGUG
rnacentral:rRNA from 1 species